UUUAAGCGUAACCAUGAAUUUUCGUGUAUCCAACUUUAAUUUUCCGUCUUAUUUUAAAUACUUGUAUGAUUACUACUUUUAUUGUUAUUAAUGAUAAAACGUGGAUAGUACUUUAUGCGUCACUUAUGUUUUUAAUUUUUUUUCAAAAUUUUUUAUAUAAGACGAUAGAUCAAAAUUUAUGGUUGCGCUUAAA
rfam:Oryza sativa Japonica Group DNA, chromosome 3, cultivar: Nipponbare, complete sequence.